UACGGAGGGUGCAAGCGUUAAUCGGAAUUACUGGGCGUAAAGGGCUCGUAGGCGGCCAACUAAGUCAUACGUGAAAUCCCUCAGCUUAACUGGGGAACUGCGUGUGAUACUGGAUGGCUUGGAUUUGGGAGAGGGAUGCGGAAUUCCAGGUGUAGCGGUGAAGUGCGUAGAUAUCUGGAGGAACACCGGUGGCGAAGGCGGCAUCCUGGACCAAUAUUGACGCUGAGGAGCGAAAGCCAGGGGAGCAAACGGG
rnacentral:rRNA from 1 species